rnacentral:tRNA from 1 species
GCCAUGUCUCAGCAGAAGAGUAUCUGCUUGGCAUGCAGAAGGUCCCAGCAUCAAUCCCUGGUAUCUCCU